GAAUCAUCCAUGGAUUCGACGAUUUCAAGGCUUCAAUGGAUUAAAUCUGAGAAGAUAAUUCUUGAAAUGGAGGAGGUUCAAUUGGUGUUCCUGGAGAUGACAAGAAAGAUCAUUCAAGGGAAGAGGAUUUGUUGCGAGAGAGUCGGAUACCGGUGUGGAUGAUCCUCUCAAUGGACUCAUUGCAGCAUCACAAAGACACAGGCAACGGUGCUACUGCUGAUGGUAGAGAGGAGAUCAACGGCAAGGGAGGCAAGGGAAAAACUGAGGGUCAAAGAGGGUUUACAACUAGGUAUAAAGCUUCAUGAGGACUCAUCUUCUUGGGAUGGAAGAUGAUCGGUUACUGGUGCUUGUGAAUAUCUGCGGAAGUACAGUAGCCUGUAGCUUUGUAGGCGUUGAACUAAAUACCAAUCAAAGUAGGAGCGAAAGGAAGAUAAUAUAGGUUUUGAUCCGCCAAAAGGUCUAUUUAUUCUCAUUUCAGUUAAGAUUUACCUCUAAAACAUUGCAUGAACUCCUGCGCAUAUUGGAUACUUUAUUUAUGCACCUUCUUGCAUUUUAAUUCCAUGUAAGUUGUGCACUCUAUUUAGUAAGUUAUUUGUAUUUUGGCUACAAAUGAUUUUAUUGGAUAUAUUGUAGACAUUUUCUGCAGGGACUGUUGCAACUUGCUAGACAUAGGAAAAGAUGGGAGUCAAUCCAAGAUGACAUCAGCAACCAAAGGUGACAUUUAUAUAAACAUUUGGAUUUCUGAUACAAGAAUAGUCAUGUGUUUUUUCUUUGAAGGUGUGUGAUUUUCUUUUAGUGUGGAAAUUAUUAUGAUGAUCAUUCAUCAGAGAUGGGUCCGUGCAUUAUUUUCUUCUUACAAAGAAAUUCAAGUUUGAAUCUUAGAUUUAACAAUUACUCCCUUUGUUCCUUUAUAUAAGGUGUAUUUGUUUUUUUAAGUCAAACGAGUGCAAGUUUGGCCAAGUUUUUAGAAAAAUAUAUCAACAUUCACAAUAUGAAUUUAUAUAUCAUUUGAUCUCAACAUAAAGAUUAAUUUCAUAUUAUAUCUAUUAGGAAUUGCAGAUGUUGUUAUUUUGUUCUACAAUCUUGGUCAAAUAUUCAAAUGAUUAACUUGCACGGAAAUCAAUACACCUUAUAUUCUGGAACGGAGGGAGUAUUUGACAUGUCAUGAAGUGUGUACUGCAUCACUCACAAAAAUCAUAGCUUCCAUCCAGCGGCUUUGGCCGAGUUAAUUUGUGCAUUGAUGUUUCACCAUUUCCUGAAGUUAUAUAACUAUUGUGGUUUCCUUCAGGUUAAUGCGAUUACUCCAUUAAGUGAAGGUUAGUCGUUGCUCCUUGAUCAAGGCUAUUAAUUUAUAGAUGGGUUUUCGAAUAUACUCAUAGUAGUCCAGUGAUGAGUAUAAGUUGAAGCAAGAGUCUAUUAAAUAAAUAAAAAACAUUUUCAUUUGAAAGUAGCCAUAAGAUAGAAAUGGAUAUACAUAUGUUGUAUAAUGAAACGAAGAUGUAUAUAGCAUGUCCAGCUCCAAGAGACUAUUUUCCUCUUUUUGGUUA